rnacentral:lncRNA from 1 species
UGAAUAACUCUUCGAGAUUUAUGCGGUAACAGGCAACAACUGAACUGAAAAUUUGAACAACUGAAUUAAAACUAAAAGAUCUUAUUGUGUACCUAUAAUAUACUAUUCAUAAACAUAUUGUAAGUGAUUGUUGCUUGAUUUGCAAAGAUAUACAAUUUUUUUCUAGCACAAUGAUUACUCAAUAAUGUUGCAAUUUGUCAUUCACAUGCCAGCUCACGCUUCAAUAAGUUGAACCCUCCACUGCUAUCAAUCUCAAAACAGAAACUCGCAAUUACUUUAUUAACAUAAUCGGUUUUCAUCUGAUCCGAGAAGGUUGCUUUGAAGGAGAGAGCUUACGAAAUGCAGCAUGCAAAAUCAUAACUACAAAGCAGUAGACUAAUUGUUAGCGCAGCAUGCAAAAUCAUAACUACAAAGCAGUAGACUAAUUGUUAGCUCACUCUAAGCAACGGCAACAUUCAUAAAAGAUGAAGAAGAGUUUCUAAUAUUUACCAAUAUAACUGAUAGCAAGUGCACAGAAUAGAGCCAUCUGAACAUUCAGAAGCAUAAGAACAACCAACGUAGCUGCAAAGAUGAGAUGUGAUUACUACUGUGAAGUCGAGGAAAGAAUUCCAUUAUUUAUCAACAGCUAGACAGUAGUCUAAUGGAAAGACUUGUUAAGGAAAGUUUAAAGCAAAACCCAUCCAGAGAAGGCAAGAACAAAAGUAUAGAAGCAAAAGUGCACACAUUCAUAUUUAGGGGUAACAAGAAAUGUAUCAUAAAUCACUUGCUCUAGUACAGUACUAUUUCAUGCUAAUUUUCUUGCUCGUUCUAUGGUUAGGACCCUUUGAGCGGAAAGAAAUCAAAUCACAAUGCUUAUUCUAGCUAGAAACUCCUGAAGUCCAUGCUUGAACCCUGUGUCAAUUGGUCAUAGACUCCAUAUUCUCCCAAAAGUAUGACAUUUUUUUCUUCCAGAGUGAUUAAUGGAACUUAAAACUGUUUUGCCACAGUCUUAGUAUCUUCCAGAGUGAUUAAUGGAACUUAAAACUGUUUUGCCACAGUCUUAGUUAUACGAACCCUUGCUCUUUAUAUUACUUCUUAAGGUCAUCAGACCCAAACCAGAACAUGUUUACUUCCUAGGAGAAAUCUUAAAUAUCUUAAUCAAUACGGAACUGUGUAGUUCAGACAGCAUUCCCUUGGCCAACUAGACGUAAUGAUUUGCAAUGUCCUAGUAGGUCUAUGAGCGGAACUAACAGUGCUCUUCCAAUAUGGAAAAACAAUCGUCAAAAACAAUUUUUUUACCCCAUCAACCACAUACAGUAUAAGACUGUGGCAGGUUAUCUUAAUAUCGGCUGCCAUUUUGAUUCAAAGAAGAAAUAUUUGAGAACUCACCACAUUGUGCAAUGCGAACCAGAACCUGCCUAAUCACAGGAUACCGAUCCCAGUUCCAUUUGUCACUACAGAACUUGAAAAAAUCCCAAAGUGCCAAACUUGAUAUCAACCCAACAAGAGCAAGCGGCAUCUGGUAUCUACAAGACGGAGACAGAGACAAUGUCACUAGAUAGAUAAUACACAAAAAAAAACUUGUAAUACAACUAACACACACUAUACUAUGAUUAAAAAAAAAUCUCCAUCAGUUAAAAACUAAACAAUGGAAAGGUGAGACUCUAUGAACUAAUGCCCUGAACCAGCACAAAUACCAAUUCUCCUGGAGUAUUUUAAGUAUUCAUAUAGUUGUUUCAAAGCACAGGAAAAAAAAAAAAAAAAACCAACGCAAAAUUGCAAAUUCAUAGUGUUGUUAUUUAUCAAUUGGAACCCAGAAAAAAAUAAUCUGUAACUUAAUUAUUCAUUUAAGCAGAUUGAAACCCUUGCAAACACAGGUAAGCAAAUCAAAAUUAUCAUUAAAAAUCCAAUCAAGGCCACAUAAAUCUAAUCACAUCCAAAAGCAUCCCAAAAUCUCGUUCAAUAUUCAUACAACCACAUACAAAAACCAUUCAAAAAUUUAAUUUUUUUUAACUCAAAAUAAUAACUCAGAAAAGGAAACAAAAUUCUUACAGAGAGCAAGCAAAGAAGAGGAUGAACAAAGAAGCAUAAUUCCUGGCAUAACGUUUAACAUUCUCAUGAACUCUCAACUUAAGGGUGUGUGGGGAAGAGGGAAACGAGUAAGACCCAAGAGCCCCAAUAAACUCACGGGUCCAAGAUGGGGUCUUGGCUGAGAAAUCAUCAGUGGUGAGUUUAGCAAAAGGGUUGACGGUGAGAAGAGAGAUAAAGGUGUAUAAAUAAUGUAAAAGGCUGUGAGUUAUGGUCGUGGCUGUGGCUGUUUCUUUGGUGGAGGCUGUUGUGACGGCGGUGGCCGACGUGGUGGUGGCGGUGUCGAGGAUUUCGAGGUAGCCUGAGUCACGAAGCCAUGACUCGAAUGCUGGGUCGGGUACGUUUAGAGAUAACGGGUUGGAUGCGAAUACCUUCCCCAUUACAAAAAAGCUAUCCAAUCUCUGUUGAAUGAGAGUAAAUAAAUGUAAUUAAUUUAAUAUGCUCAAGGGUUUUUAGUAUUUUAAAGACCCUACAAAAUAUAACUUAAUUUUUUUAAAUUUAAUAAAUGAGUGUGUAGAACAAUAAAGUAUUUAAAGUAAUUAUUAGGUGAUAUUUGGUUGGGAGGAGAGAAUGAGAGAUAAGAAAUUAAUUCAAAAUUUAUUUUUAUUUUUAUUGUUUGAUUGCACAAAAUAUAUAAGAAUUUAAUUUUUAUUAAAAUUUAAUAUCCUUUAUAAUGUAGAAUUUAAAUUCCACACCAAAGAGUGAAGAAUUCAAAUUUCUCUUAUGUUGAAAACCCAAGCUUCUAAAUUUACCCUCCAAUAUUUUAACUUGUUUAAUGCUAUUAAUAAUUAUUAUUUAUGAUUUUAUUUUAUUAAUUUAAUAUUAUAAAUAAUUUUAUAUUAAUUAAAUUUAAUGAAUGAUUUAAGAAAUUUAAUAAAAUAAAUAAACUUAUUUAUUUAUUUAAUAUAAAAAUAUAUAAAUAUAAAUUAACUUUACCGGACCGUCGCUGGACCCUUUGACAUCGCCGGAAGCCGCCGAAAUUUCGUUGGAAAGUCACCGGCCACCGCUGACCGGUGUUGACUUUCGUUGACCGAUGUUGACUUUAUUGACCGACGUUGACUUAUAUUGACCGCUACUGUUGACCGGCUUUUAUUUAAAUUAAAUUAUAUUUAAUAUUAAAUAGUUUAGUAUAUUAAAUUAUUUUAUAUUUUAUAUUAAAUAUAAAUCAUGAAUUGUUUUAGAACUUUUUGAAAUUAAAACGAUUUAGUAUUAAUAUCAAAUUAUAUUUUAUUACUAAUAUAGAUAAUUUAAUAUUUAAGAUAAAUGAUAAAUUUGUCUAAAGAAAAAAAUUAUAAUUCUUUUUCUUAUCAAAUUUUAUAUCAAACCAAAUAAUAAAAUUUAAUUUCACUAUUCUCAUCGACUCAUUUCUUUUCAUUUCCCUUCCAUUCCACUCUUUUCUUCUCCUCCCAUUUCUUAAAACCAAACACCACCGUAGAGCCUGUAAUGCUUUAGCUGAUUCAUUAGCUAAAUUAACUUUAAGUUUUGAAAGACCUGCUCUGUGGCUGGAAAAUUUUCCAGACAAUGUUUUGCUGUUGUUUUCAAUGUCAGUUUGGAAAGCUUUACUUUCCCUUCAAAAAAAAAAAAAAAAACACCACCUUAGAGGAUAAAUAGGCAUAUCCAAUACUUUAACUUAUGGUUGGUUGUUUUUUUCACUGAUUUUUUUUUAUUUGAAUUGAAUUAAUUACUAGUUGUGACUCGAGCUCAAGAGAGUCGAAGAGAGAGAAAAAGAAAAAUGGAGUGCUUCUCUUGUCCAUUUUAAGUGAAAAUAUUUAGGUUGGGUACCAAAGGGCAGUUUAAUCUUUUAUACUGCAUGGCAGCUUUUUACUCAAAUAUCAAAUGAGCUUGUUCUUCACGUGACGCUAAUUUUAUCAAACUUUAUUUUUUUCCUUGAUUAGCUCGUGUAGGACAGUUGAGGUGGCAACUUCUUAUUUAUUAUUCUUAUACCACAUGUUAGCUUUCAACUAGUCCAUAAAUAUCCUUCAAAAUUUACCUCCAACAAAUCUAAUAACCUCUUGAAAACGAAAAAUUAAAAAUUUAUUCAAUCAUUCAAUGUUAAGGAAAUUGACCAAGUAAUGGAAUGCUAACAAACCAAAUUAAAUUUCUACACUUACUCUUUUUCUUUGGCCUAUACCAAAUUUCAUCACCUAAUUUUACUUUAAUUAAAUAAAACAAAUACAUUAUAACUGCUUACUAUUUACAUCUGAAUAGAGCAAUGAAGACUGGUUAUUAAAGACCGGUUAUUAAACGGAUAUGGAUGAAAAUGGUGUUAAAAGACUGGUUAUGAAAAAUCUUUUAACAUAUAUCUUGUGUUUAAGAAACUUUUAGUUCACAACCAUGGCAUAUGGUAGCAAUGAAAAGGCUCUUGCAGGAUAUAUUCAAGCAAAUUGGUUUGGGUAACCACAAACAAAAGAGCCUUGCAAGUGACAAAGUUCCUCCUUUGCCCACUCAAAUGCAUUACAUAAUGUCGCAGUACAUUUUAUUCAUGCAAAUACGUAUAUAUAUGCAUAUCUUGAUAACUAUUUUAACAUGUGAUCUAAUAUAGAACAUAAUUUAAUAGAGUAUACUCCUUGAAUUUCGCUCUGAAUUUUUUUUAUAAUUGAUUUGUUAUAAAUUUGAACGAGGGAUUGCAAUUAUACCUUCUUGAAGUUUAUAGAUGUUUUCAUGAAUGCUCCACGAAAAAUAUUUGAUGUCGUGCUAAUGCUCACUGCAAAGCAUAUACCGUAGGCUAUAGCUAUAUAAAAACUUAUACUUGCUUUCUCGAAUGCACACACUUGCGCACAAAAUUUUACUAGACGGUUUCAAUUUAUUGAACCAUUAGAGGGACACAUCAGUAGUCACCAAAAUGCCACUCUAAAUGGCAAUUCUCGUAAUCAUUUUGCUGCCGCUCUUCAUUCCAGUCCCAAGUACACAGCCCAAACUUCAAUUUUCUCUGGGAAGGUAAUGAAGCGUGGCUCAGUCUCAGUAAUAUGUCUUCCAUAUUCCAUGGAAUGAGCCAAAGGAGUAAUACUUCUAUAGUUAGAAGCAACUAGCAAUCAUAUUGAAGGAAUUUUCUGUAUCAGAUAAAGAAAGAGCAGCAGAGAACAAAGCUGUUAAUCAAUCAACACAUGUACAGCAGUAUUAGUAUUUCUGCCUUAUUGUAGUGCCUAAUUGGGUAUUAGGAUUUCUCCACAAGAACGUUUACUAAGACAUUCAGCCAAGUAUGAAGUUCAUCAAUAAUCAAUCUUUUCGGCAAAUAAACGAAACAUAUUGAGUGCCAAACUUGCCCAGCCUUUGAAACAGGAUUUCAGAGCAAGCAAGAGAACAAAGACAGAAAAUACAUUCAACUGAAUCCAACACUAGAAAAUAUCACAAAUAUUAUUUAUUUUUUUGUACACAAUUAACGAACCGUGGCUGAAGCACAAAUCAAUGAACUCUCAACUGAAAAUCCGAAACCAAACUUCUUAUUUAUGAAUAGACAGCGGAAACAAAGAAACCAAAAAAAGUCCACCGUAGGAUCAGGACUUAUUUGUGUAGACAGCAAAAGUGAAGACGGAAAGGAUUCUGGUUGAAAUUGAAGCUCAGGCUGCAGUCAUGAUGUUUUCUGCUCUGAUUUCACCUACACAAGUCAUUGAAGAAAUUGUGAAAAAUAAGAAUUCUAAAUUACAUUUUUUUUUCUUAACUACUAAAACAAAUGAACACCGAUGUAUUGAAGAGGGCUUGAUGAUUGGGGUGAGCAUCGGAAACUCUAAAGGGUACUUAAUGUUGAGACAAUUAGAAGAAAACAAUUUGUAUAACCAUUUUUGUAUUGAAGAGAAGGGGAAAAAAGUAUAUGAAAUUGGAUAAAUAAUUAAAAUUUGAAGAAAUUGGGUAAAACGAGAAACAUACAUCAAAUUCAAUAGGGGCUAAUCAAAUUCCGUAAGGAUAUAGUUGAAUGCCGCACUGUUCCUUAUCCUCAAAUUCCCGUAGCUUUUGUCUCAGCUCUGGCUGAGGCCACCAGCAAUCGAACUUGUUUAAGCUCUUUAUGCACCAGAGCUGUUCAGGCAUCUUUUUCAAGUAAGCACAAGGGUUGAUAAUCAAGCAUUCUAGUUUUGGCAUGGCUGCAUUCCCCAUAGUCCACUCCUCUAGCCAUAGCAUUGAUUUCAGGUGCAACACCUUGAGGUUCGGAAAACCAUAAGAGCCACAAGUCAGCUUUCUACCUGAAUACGAGUUUUGCUUCAGUUUGAGCACUUGAAGAAGCGGCAGCUUUUCUAGUGUCGGCAUGGGAUCGUCCAUUAGGUCAGUAUUAGAAAAACUCAAGUGGGUUAGACUAUGAGGAAAUAGGUAUUCAGCAAGGAUGAUUUUGGAGAGCCGUGGCAUCUUGCUUUCGUUCACCAACUUCAAUGACCCGAGGCAGCUCAAUCUGCAAAUACUUUUGGACAACAAAGAUUGAUUAUAACUUAAAUCUCCCAAUAUGCAGAGAUUUCGAAGACUAGGCAGUCUGCCCAAUAUGUCUUCAGUACAGCAGCAAGGAUGCAAGGCCGAAAUGAAAUUUAGAUUUUCCAGAGAGCCACAAUAUUUUCCUGGAUGCGCAGGAAGUGUGAUUGACCCAAAAUUUAGAUGCCUGAGAUUGUUCAUCUUCCAAAAUUCAUCUGCCGUAUGAUCUAUGUAGCUAAAGGGCAUGUCUAGGGUGUAGAGGUUUAGAAGAUUGCUUAAUAAUGAUGAAGGCAGGCUUUUGAGGGAAGGGAUAUUCAACUUCAAAUAUCUCAAAAGAAAUAAAUUUUCAAUUCCGGAUGGAUAUUGGAUGAGAACAAGAGAUCCCAAAUCCAAUACUCUGAGAAGUUUGAACAUUCCACAAAAUUUCUCCCAAUCUAUGGGGUCAAAGUGGCGGGUUUCUGGAGAGAAGCACAAGAAAGAAUGCAGUUGCGAGUUGUAAUCAUCUAAGCAAGCAAAAUCACCCUCUCUUUCAACAGCGUUUAACCGUUUGGCUUUUUUUCCUGAUUCUCUAUGGAUAGAAGGGGAAAAGAUGAAUUCCACCUCAGGAGGAACUAAGAGCAACACGGGACGCCAACGGCCAGGAAUAGAGCAUGUGUUGAUAGUGCCUCCGGCUUUUCUCUUCUUUGCUUCAACAAAGCCUCCCUUGAUUAGUUGUUCUAAGUAACUCUCAGCAGUUGCCUCACUAUUGUCUGGAAUGAAACCUUCAGCUAUCCACAACUGAUAUAACUGCCUGGUGGAUAUCUCUAGGUGUGCGGCAAACACAGAUAAGUAGAGGAAACAAAGUUUCAAGCAAAAAGGUAAACUGCAACAUUUGAAGUACCGACGCGCAAAGGGUCGGCUGGUUGCUUCCGUUUUAUUUUCUUUUAAUGAGAUGCUUCCAUGAUAUAAGAUGGGGAAAGGCCAUCCUUUAUAUGUAGCUCUCAAUGGUCCUCCAGUGGGCACAAAAUCAAGCCCAAUGUUCUCUCCGUCUUCGAACUGAAAUGAGGUGACAAUCUCAAUUCGGCUGAGUGUGAUUAAUACUCUACUUCCAUUCUGAUUAUCCGGAAGUAUUUCUCGAAUAACAUCCCACAUAUCAAUUCUCCAUACAUCAUCAAUCACAAUCAAAUACCGCUUGGUCAUCAGAUAUUCAUGAAGAAUAACUUUUUUCAUUUCAUAAUUUUUAUCCAUUAUUUCACUCAACCUAGAUGAAGGCAUCAGACACUUAAUAACGAUAUCUAAUAUUUGGUCAGCAUCAUAUUCAUUUCUGUAAGGCUCUGAAAUCCAAGCGUGACAAUCAAAAUAAUGCUUCACAUAACUGCUGUUGUAAGCCUCUCCGGCGAAAGCCGUUUUGUCCAACCCAAUGCUAUCAAGUAUGGCCACCACUGAAUGCUGAGUUGGUCCCUCGAUCAAUAGAUCUAACAACUCCUCCAUUCUAUCAUCUAGGCCCACCGUGUUCCAAUUCUUAGAAGAUGAAGAUAUACCGGCUUCAGCUUCCAGAUUUUUGAAGGCAUCAAAGAUUUCGGAAUCGAUGUGCGGAACUUGUUGAGUCCGUUGUUUUAUAUCAAUGAUUCUGCUUUGGAGUCCUUGGAGAGCAUAAAAAAUGUCCUGGCUGCAGCUGCUUUGACUCUUCUGUUCACUAAUGCUGUUGAUGAAUGUGUCAAUGACCUUCUCAGAUUCAUACGUAAAGCAAUUGAUUUCGUCCAUAACGGUCGCCAGAUCUGGGUUUUCAAUUUCUCCGUGUCCUAUCUUUUCCCGCAGAAGGCAGGACGUUUCACAUUCAAAUUCACUUAGCCAAGAAGUAACGAUUUCAAUCUCGGCAUGAAGGUUCUGAACAGGUUGUUUUGCAGCAUCAGGCAACUUGACUUCUUCACCAGCUAACACCCUUCGCAGCCUCUCGGAAAAUAGUCUGAACUUGAUGUCCAUAUCUCCUCCUCUCUCUGAGUCACCCCGAAAUCAGUCCUGUAGCAUGCAAAGAAAUAAUUAAAAGAGAGAGGGGAAAAGGAAAAUAUGCUUUAAAGCUCUCAAUUCAAACAUUAGUGCUGGCUCCCGUACCUCCCUUCUCUUAGCUAGUUCUCCAGUCAAGAAGUUGAAUCAAGAUCGUUGACUCUCAAAUGAGAACAUAUCAAGGCAGAAUCUUUGUUUAAAAAAAAAAAAAAAAUCAUUGUUAAAACUUCUUAGCUCUUAAUUCAAAUAUUUAUGUGUCCGCUGAAACAUUUGUUGUUGAUGAAUGGAAUUGGUCUUAGGUUGACCGACGCAACUCUUUCUCUCAGCACUCAAGUAGUGUGAGCAUGUUAGUUUAGUCAAUAGUUUCUCCUAUACAUAAAUGAUGUUUUAUUAUAGAAUUUUGAUAAUAUGUACAAUGGGGAAGUAGCUGUAGAAAAGAGAUUGGGUUUUGGUUUAUGUGAUAUGGACUUGGAGCAUAAUAAAUUAUACAACUUGCAAUUAAAUCCAAAAUUGCAGUACUUCAUUACUUUUGUCUUCUGUGAAUAUAAAACACUGACUGUGUAAUCAUAGUACUUUUUUAAUAAGGACUAUGAUGAAAAUUAAAGACAAAUAAUGAUUUCAUGGAGUUAGUCACUGAGACACUGACUGCUAUAUCAUGAACAAGUUUUUCCGUGACUGUUUCUCGUGAAAAGGAAAUUUUUAAAAACUUUAUCAAUGCAGGUGAUGAAUAAAUAUGCUACCACUUGCAGCUAGGUUGGAGAAGAUGAGGGGAAGGUGACGCUAAUGAAUAAAUAUGCUACCACUUGCAAUUAAUAAAAUGCUAACCCUGUCUGGUAUGCUAGCUCUGUUCAUUGAAAGCAAAAGCAAUGGAAUCUUUGACCUUGCUGCCACAAGAUGAUUGUCAUGGAAGGCACCAAAGUUUCCAAGUAUGUAUGUAUAUCACACACACAUACUUGCAUGUAUGUAUAUCACAGAUAAAAUUUGUAUCCCAGGGUUAUAAAUGUGAAUUACUCACAUAAAUAUGCAUUAUUAAUCAUGUACGAUGCUCUCUUAUUUCUUCAACGAGAUUUAGAGAAAGUACUAAAUCCUUUGUAAAAUUUUAUAUUUAAUAUAUCUUCAUUUUAAAACUACAUCCAUAUCCCGCAUAAAUUUGGGGAUCAUUUUAGCAUUGUUUUUUAAGAAAUGCAAAUUGAUAAAGAGUUCUAACCGCGACAUAAGGGUGACAAAAAUAAUAGUAAAUUGUGCAAUGUUACAAUGUUAAUUCAAAAUAGUUAUAAUUUUUUAUUUAAUACGGUAAAUAAAAUUUACAGUUGUUUUGUAAUCAUUGUAUGAUUCUUUGAUUCAAAUAUCAUUAUUAUAUGAACCCUCACCUUUUUGAAAGGAUUACAUCUUAAGAAACUAUUUAUAAUUAUUUUCAUUUGAGUCAUUAGUGUUAAAAAUAUAACAAUGAAAUUAAUGAUAGUCGAAUUCCAAGUAGGAAUGACAGAAAAAUCCGGUCUAACUAGAGCAUGUUUUCUAAGUACUCUGGCUGGACUUGGACUUUGGUUUAAAAGCCCGAACCCAACCAGAAAGCCCAAAAAAUAUUGAAAAUUUUAAAAAUCUAUAUUACUUUAAUUAAAAUACAACUUUUUACAUAUAUGUAAUCCACUUAUAGCAUAUAUUUAAAGUUUUAAGUUAUUUGAACCCAACUAUUAAAGCCUAAUCUAACAAAGAAAAAACUAAAUUUUAUAAACUAUAAAAUUUGUAAAAUAUAAUGAAAAAAGUUUUUUUUUUUAAAAUACAUAAUGUAUACUUCAAGCUUUUUGGCUUGGCUUUGGAAAAAAAAAAAAAAAACCAACGUUUUGUCAUCCCAAAUUCCAAGCCUUAAAUACUUCUCCAAAUGUAUAGUACAACAUUGUAUAAUAGGACCAAUCACAUGGAGAUGAUUUGUAAAUUUUUGCACGCAAUUUUAAUAUGCACAUCAGAAGAGAGGCAGCAAUCUUAGUUGAUACUUUUAUUUGACAUAUGAUGUAAGAAAUGAAACAAAGAUUGUUGUUAACAUAAAUUAUUCUUUAUUGAUUUUGAUGAUAACAAACAUGAUUAAGAUUAAUUAAUCUUUUAAAAACUCAUCAUAAUUUUCAUCUAUUUUGACAAGUUUCAUAAAGUUUUUUUAUAAAGAUUUGGAGACAAAACAGUCAUCUUGCAAAAUAGUUCACUGCAGCAGUUUUUGUGGUAAACGGCGAUCCGACAUGUGUAAUAAACGGCUUGCCGAUUUCAAGCAGAAAUGGAGAUUAGCCUCUGGACGUAAACGGCGAUCCGACAUGAAUAAUAAACGGCUCGCCGAUUUCAAGCAGAAAUGGAGAUUAGCCUCUGGACGUAAACGGCGAUCCGACAUGUGUAAUAAACGGCUCACCGAUUUCAAGUAGAAAUGGAGAUUAGCCUCUGGACGUAAACGGCGAACCGACAUGUGUGAUAAACGGCUCGCCGAUAUCAACCAGUAGCCUCUGGACCUAAACGGCGAUCCGACAUAUAGGUAACGGCGAUCCGACAAUUUGAAAAAUCAGCCCAACGGUCAUAUUGACCAGUCAAACGGCGAUCCGACAUCUAGCUAACGGCGAUCCGACAGUGUACAGAAAGUCAAUAACGGCUAGUUUUCAGCUGCAGCUAUAAAUAAGCUCAUUCAAAUUCAAACAAAGCUUGAUCACAACACGACCAUUGAGCUAAUAUUCGAGAAUACAAUCUUCAUAGAGCUUAGAACACAUUCUUGCUUCAUCUAUUCACAAAUUAAGCAUCAUUGUGUAAUCCUAUAUAUUGUGAGAGGCAAAUCAAUUUGUAAUCUUUUACUUUGAGUGAUUGUAAGUGUUGGGAUACACUUGGGUUAAGAGAUUGGGGAUAAUCUCUUGUUGUAAAGGUUUAUUGACACCUUGGAAGUCAAGUGUAAGCAUUUGAAGCCUUGGAGGCUUGCUUAGUGAAAUCUUCAAGCCCAGUGAGCUUGGAGGAGUGGACGUAGGCGGGGAUUGCCGAACCACGUAAAAAUUAUUGUGUUUGCUCUCUCUUCCCUUACUCCUUUACUAUUGUGCUUUAUUGAAUUUAUUGUUUUUGAUUCCAUUAAGGCAUUAGAUUAAAUUGUUGUGUGAUUUGCUUAGCUUAAUUUUAAAAUCCCAAUUCACCCCCCCUCUUGGGUUGCACACUUGUAUUUCAUUUGGUAUCAGAGCCUUGUUCUCUUAUUAAGACUUAAUUGUCUAGAGUAAAAGAUCCAUGGCAACCCUAAAUGACUCAACCUUUAGAGAAGGGCAAUCUACAACUAGACCACCAUUCUUUGAUGGAAAUGACUAUGCUUAUUGGAAAACUAGAAUGAGAAUCUACUUGCAAGCCUUAGAUUAUGAAAUUUGGAAAGUUGUUUGUGACGGUUCAUUCAUGCCUAUGUUUAAAGAUGAAGUAGGAGAUGAUAUUCCUAAACCAUCAAGUCAAUGGAGUGAGUUAGAAAAGAGAAAAAUGUCUCUAAACUCCAAGGCUAUGAAUGCUUUGUUUUGUGCCCUUGAUAAGAAAGAAUUCCAUAGAGUAUCUAGUUAUGAAAGUGCAUAAGAGAUAUGGAACAAACUUGAAGUUGUCUAUGAAGGGACAAAUCAAGUAAAAGAGUCUAAAAUCAGUAGAUACACUCGUCAAUAUGAGUUGUUCCAAAUGGAACAAAAUGAAAAUGUGUAUUCUAUGUAUACUAGAUUCACGGACAUAGUGAACACCCUAGGUGCCUUAGGGAAAAUCUUCUCAAAUAGUGAGAAAGUUAAGAAAAUCAUUAGGUCACUUCCAAAAGAAUGGAGACCUAAAAGAACCGCCAUUGAAGAGGCCAAAGAUUUAAAUACUUUACCUCUUGAUGAUUUAAUUGGUUCUCUCAUUUCAUAUGAAGAGGAUUUAGCUGCAGAAAAAGGACAUGAUGAGAAGAAGAAAAGCAUUGCUCUCAAAGCUUCAAAAUAUGAGAGUGAUGGGGAGAGUGAACCAGAUGAUGAAGAGCUAGCCAUGCUAGCAAGGAGGUUCAGAAAAUUCUUCAAGAAAACCGGAGAGCGAAGAAAUUUCAGAAACUUCAAGAACCUUAGGGAGAAGAAGGAGGCAAUCACAUGCUAUGAAUGCAAGAAGCCUGGACAUAUAAGAUCAGAGUGCCCACUAAUCAACAAACUCAAGAAGAAAGCAAUGGUUGCAACUUGGGAUGAUAGUGAGGAAGAAUCAAGUGAUGAAGAAGGAUCGCAAGAAGUAUCAAACCUAGCACUCAUGGCAAUAUGAGGGAAUUAUGAUCUCAAUGAGGUAAGUGAUCCCACCUAUGAUGAAUUGUAUGAUGCUUUUAAAGAUUUACAUAAUGAGUUGAUGAAGAUUGGUAAAAAGAAUGUAUGUCUUAAAAAGGAAAUGGCAAAGCUUAAAAAUGAAAAUGAAUCUCUAAAUGCAAGAAUUGUUUGCCUAGAAGUAGGAAACAAAACAUUGCAUGAUGAAAUUGCAUUAUCAAAUGAAAAACCUAGCAUCUUACAUGAGCAUUUAGAAUCGCACAUAGAUGAGUUGAAAAAUGAGAACGAAAUGCUCAAGAAAAAGAGUAAUGAAUUGAAUGAAAUUGUUUUAAAAUUUACAAAUGGGCAAAAGAUGUUGGAUAAUAUGCUUAACUCACAAAAAUGUGUUUUUGAUAAAGGAGGACUUGGAUAUAAGCCUAACUUGAAGCAAAAGUAUUAUAAGAAUUAUUUUGUUAAAUCUACCUCCACAAAUGAUCAUAAGAUUGUAUGUCAUUAUUGUAAUCAAAAUGGUCACAUGAAAUAUAGAUGUCCCGUGAAAAGGAAUGCAUAUUAUGGUGUCAAAUGCAUUUGGGUUCCAAAAGGAACCGUUGCUAACUCUCAAGGACCCAAAAAGUUUUGGGUACCUAAAACUUGAGAUUUUUUCUUGUAGGGCUUGAAGAAGAAGAAAAAUAAAUGGUACUUGGACAGCGGUUGUUCAAGGCACAUGACCGGAAACUAUGCAUGGUUCUCAAGCUUCACCAAAAUUGAAAAUGGUGGAGACGUAUCUUUUGGAGACAACUCAAAAGGAAAAAUUCUUGGAAUUGGAAAUGUUGGUAAAGUCUCUUCAACUCUAAUUGAGAAUGUAUGUUUGGUUGAGAACUUGAAACACAACUUAAUUAGCAUUAGUCAAUUAUGUGACAAAUGUUAUAAAGUUAUCUUUGAUAAAUUUAGUUGUGUUAUUGAGAACUCAUGUGAUGGCAAAACCUUAUUUGUUGGGAAUAGAUGUGGUAAUGUUUAUAUCAUUGACAUAAAAUGUGCAUCUACUCUUGAUAAAUGUUUUUCGGCAUUGCAUGAUGAUUGUUGGUUAUGGCACAGAAGGUUAGGACAUGCAAGUAUGGAUUUGAUUUCAAAAAUUUUGAAAGAUGAUUUAGUUAAAGGUCUUCCGAAAAUUGGUUUUCAAAAGGAUAAGAUUUGUGAAGCUUGUCAAUUUGGAAAACAAAUUAAAACUUCUUUCAAGAAUAAAAACCAUAUUUCUACUUCAAAACCACUUGAACUUCUUCACAUAGAUCUUUUUGGGCCAUCUAGAUAUGCGAGUCUAAAUGGCAAAUAUUAUGCAUUUGUGAUAGUGGAUGAUUAUUCUAGAUAUACAUGGGUAUUAUUCUUAGCCAAUAAGGAUGAUGCUCUUGAUGCUUUUAAAGUGCUUUGUAAGAAAUUACAAAAUGAAAAAGUGCAUGGUAUUGUAUGCAUUAGGAGUGAUCAUGGAGGAGAAUUUGAAAAUCAUGCAUUUGAGAUUUUUUGCAAUAAUCUAGGCAUUGAGCAUCAAUUUUCAUCACCUAGAACUCCACAACAAAAUGGAGUUGUUGAGAGAAAGAAUAGGUCUAUUCAAGAAAUGGCUAGGACCAUGCUAAAUGAAAAUGCAUUACCAAAAUAUUUUUGGGCCGAAGCCGUCAACACCGCUUGUUAUGUUUUAAAUCGGGUGUUGAUUAGACCUAAUUUUAAUAAAACUCCCUAUGAGCUUUGGAAAGAUAGAAAACCCAACAUUGGAUAUUUCAAAGUUUUUGGAUGCAAAUGUUUUAUUUUAAACACAAAAGAUAAUCUUGGUAAAUUUGAUCCAAAAUCUGAUGUUGGCAUCUUUCUUGGGUAUUCAAACUCAAGUAAAGCUUAUAGAGUUUAUAAUAAAAGAACUUUAGUUGUGGAGGAGUCCAUGCAUGUUACGUUUGAUGAAUCUAACCCCUCCUCUGCGGAGAAAGGAGUUGCUAAUGAUGAUGCAGAUGGAGAGUUACAAGAAGAAUCAUCAAAAGAGAAUCAAGAGAAUGCACCACAAGAAAAUCAAGAGGAUAGACAAGAAGAACAAACAAAUAUGGAGCUGGAACAACAAGAUGGUAUUUCUCAAACACUCCCCAAGGAGUGGAGGUAUGUCUCUUCUCACCCUAAAGAUGUAAUUUUAGGAGAUCCCUCACGAGGUGUUACAACUAGAUCAUCACUUAAGAAUACUUGUGAGCAUAAUGCAUUCAUUUCUCAAAUUGAACCCAAAUCCUUUGAGGAUGCGGAAAAUGAUGAAUCUUGGAUUAUGGCAAUGCAAGAGGAAUUAAAUCAAUUUGAAAGAAACAAUGUGUGGGAAUUAGUUCCUAAACCGGAACAUCAAUCCGUCAUAGGUACUAAAUGGAUUUUUAGAAAUAAGAUGGAUGAAUCCGGUGUGGUUGUAAGGAAUAAAGCUAGAUUAGUGGCUCAAGGUUACAACCAAGAAGAAAGAAUUGAUUUUGAUGAAACUUUUGCACCCGUUGCUAGACUAGAAUCAAUUAGAAUGUUGUUGGCAUUUGCAUGUCAUAAAGAUUUCAUCUUAUUUCAAAUGGAUAUGAAAAGUGCUUUCCUAAAUGGGUAUAUUAUGGAAGAAGUGUAUGUAAAACAACUCCCUGGUUUUGAAAAUGAAAAGUUUCCAAAUCACGUUUAUAAGUUGCUUAAAACCUUGUAUGGAUUAAAACAAGCACCUAGAGCAUGGUAUGAUAGACUUAAGAAUUUCCUGUUGGUAAAUGAUUUUUCAAUGGGUAAAGCGGAUACUACUCUAUUUGUUAAGCAUAAGAACCAAGAUAUACUUAUUGUUCAAAUUUAUGUUGAUGAUAUUAUUUUUUGUUCUACUAAUGAAUUGUUGUGUAAAGAUUUUUCAUCGUGUAUGAGCAAAGAAUUUGAGAUGAGUAUGAUGGGUGAGUUGAAGUACUUUCUUGGACUUCAAAUCAAACAAAACGAGGAAGGAAUUUUCAUAAAUCAAGCCAAGUACGUAAAAGAUCUACUCAAACGAUUAAGCAUUGAUAACUCAAAGACCAAAAAUACACCAAUGAGCACAACAACCAAGCUGGACAAAAAUGAAAAAGGCAAAGAAGUGGAUAUCAAAAUGUAUCGAGGUAUGAUCGGAUCCCUACUUUAUUUGACUGCAAGUAGACCCGAUAUCAUGUUUAGUGUAUGUUUGUGUGCAAGAUUUCAGUCUUGUCCCAAGGAAUCUCAUUUGCUUGCUAUUAAAAGAAUUUUCCGUUAUUUGAGUGGAACCAUAGAUAUUUGCCUUUGGUAUCCUAGGGGAACUCAUAUAGAUUUAACAUGUUAUUCGGAUGCGGACUUUGCCGGUUAUAAAGUGGAUAGGAAGAGCACUAGUGGUACUUGCUAUAUUCUAGGACACUCUUUUGUUUCAUGGUUUAGCAAGAAACAAAAUUCUGUCGCACUUUCAACUACCGAGGCUGAAUAUAUAGCUGCCGGAAGUUGUUGUGCACAAGCACUUUGGAUGAAACAAACACUUAGAGAUUAUGGCAUUAAUCUUGAACAAAUUCCUAUUAAGUGUGAUAAUACUAGUGCUAUUAAUCUUUCAAAGAAUCCCAUUCAACACUCUCGAACCAAGCAUAUAGAAAUAAGACAUCAUUUCUUGAGAGAUCAUGUUCAAAAGAGAGACAUUGCAUUAGAGUUUAUUUCUACGGAAAAACAACUUGCCGAUAUUUUUACAAAACCACUUUGCGAAGAACAAUUUUCCAAAAUUCGGCAUGAACUUGGGAUGAUGAAAUUUUCACAUUAACAGCUUUAUUCAUGCUAUUGAGUCUAUUAACAUUGAUUGAUCUAUGCCUUGAUGCUUUAAUAUCUAUGGAAUGCUCAAUCGCAAUAUACAUGUGAUGUGUAUGGACAUUUGAAAAUGUAUGAAUUAAUUGUUGCAAUACAUAUUUAUAUUCAUGAAUUAUGCAUUGAACUGGCACUCAAAUCAUUUUGGAUCAAUAAAAUGAUCUUGAAAUGUAUUAAUAAGUAGCCAAAUAUCAAAAUAAAUGUGCGAAAUCAUAAGUUGUAGAAAACGGAUUGCCGUUAUUUCAAUAAACGGCUAACCGUUUUGGGCAGAAAUAAUGGAAAGUUUUCUGGGCGCUAUCGGUUCGCCGAUAACUAUCUAUCGACUCGCCGUCCUGAUACAAAAUUUUGAGGAGACUCCCUGGACCCUAUCGGCUCGCCGUUUUGAUGAAAUUUUUUUGGAGGACACUCUGGACUUUGUCGGCUCACCGUUUUCUCUAUAACGGCUCGCCGUUAUCACGCGUUAAUUGAACAGUCUUUCGUCUUCCUCCUCAUUUCGGUUUCUCUUUCUCUCUCUCUCUCACUUCAACCCGCGACUGCACCAGUUCUCUCCUCUCAAAUCCAUCACUUUUCUUGUCAUUUUUCACCAAAUUGCAGCAUUACAAACCAUUUCUAUCAUCUCUAGCACCUUUUAACAGAUUCAAAUCCUUCUUUUUCUUCAAAUUUUGAAAAAUCUCAUCUUGAAACCCUAGAACCAGCCGAAUCUCAUUUGUUCAUUUUGACCCAAAUUUCUUCAUUUUUCCAACUACAUUUCCACCUACAAUCACUAUCUCACACUUCGUUUCCACAUAUUUUUUUUAUCUCAUCUAUGGCGGAACGACCCCAAAGGCGUGCUCAAACCAAGCACACUGCUCCGCGACGUUCUAGUCCCCCCAGGUCUCCUCCUCAAGACUUCGAGAGUCUUCAUUUUUCUGAUGCCACCUCUGCUCAGCGAUUUCGUGAGAAAUUCAUGGGUAAACCCAUAAGUCAUUCCUCGCGCCUAUUUCUUUUUUAUGAUGAAGGGGGAGAUAAUUGGCAUUAGCAUUAUUUUUUUUCUUUUCUUUCUUCUAAUCAAUCUGUUUUAAACUUGUUUGAGAUUAAAAUUAAAUGAACUCUUUUUUAAGGGAAGUUAACAAGUCUUUCAAAAUCUCACAUAGGGGGAGCACAUAUUUAGGGGGAGCAAAAGUGCACAAGUAUUUUCUUGAAAAGUUUGUCAUCAUAAAAAAGGGAGAGAUUGUUAACAUAAAUUAUUCUUUAUUGAUUUUGAUGAUAACAAACAUGAUUAAGAUUAAUUAAUCUUUUAAAAGCUCAUCAUAAUUUUCAUCUAUUUUGACAAGUUUCAUAAAGUUUUUUUAUAAAGAUUUGGAGACAAAACAGUCAUCUUGCAAAAUAGUUCACUGCAGCAGUUUUUAUGGUAAACGGCGAUCCGACAUGUGUAAUAAACGGCUCGCCGAUUUCAAGCAGAAAUGGAGAUUAGCCUCUGGACGUAAACGGCGAUCCGACAUGUGUAAUAAACGGCUCGCCGAUUUCAAGCAGAAAUGGAGAUUAGCCUCUGGACGUAAACGACGAUCCGACAUGUGUAAUAAACGGCUCACCGAUUUCAAGCAGAAAUGGAGAUUAGUCUCUGGAUGUAAACAGCGAACCGACAUGUGUGAUAAACGGCUCGCCGAUAUCAACCAGUAGCCUCUGGACCUAAACGGCGAUCCGACAUAUAGGUAACGGCGAUCCGACAAUUUGAAAAAUCAGCCCAACGGUCAUAUUGACCAGUCAAACGGCGAUCCGACAUCUAGCUAACGGCGAUCCGACAGUGUGCAGAAAGUCAAUAACGGCUAGUUUUCAGCUGCAGCUAUAAAUAAGCUCAUUCAAAUUCAAACAAAGCUUGAUCACAACACGACCAUUGAGCUAAUAUUCGAGAAUACAAUCUUCAUAGAGCUUAGAACACAUUCUUGCUUCAUCUAUUCACAAAUUAAGCAUCAUUGUGUAAUCCUAUAUAUUGUGAGAGGCAAAUCAAUUUGUAAUCUUUUACUUUGAGUGAUUGUAAGUGUUGGGAUACACUUGGGUUAAGAGAUUGGGGAUAAUCUCUUGUUGUAAAGGUUUAUUGACACCUUGGAAGUCAAGUGUAAGCAUUUGAAGCCUUGGAGGCUUGCUUAGUGAAAUCCUCAAGCCCGGUGAGCUUGGAGGCGUGGACGUAGGCGGGGAUUGCCGAACCACGUAAAAAUUAUUGUGUUUGCUCUCUCUUCCCUUACUCCUUUACUAAUGUGCUUUAUUGAAUUUAUUGUUUUUGAUUCCAUUAAGGCAUUAGAUUAAAUUGUUGUGUGAUUUGCUUAGCUUAAUUUUAAAAUCCCAAUUCACCCCCCCUAUUGGGUUGCACACUUGUAUUUCAAUUGUAACAUUACAAAUUUUGCAAUUCAGCAUCCAAAAUAUCACUAGAACUUGCAAUACAAGCUUUAAUCUCUUCAACAACACGUAGAAUUGCGGCCAGGAACACAAACGAAAAUAUAGUUAAUUAUGCAUGCAUUAAAAAGAUGAGGAAGAGAAGAUUAAGGAACAACAUGAGGCCACCAAGAGAGUGAUGAAAAAUGUGGAUUUAAGUUUAAGUUCCACAAUGUUUACGUAAGCAAAAGUACAAAACUGAGAGUCUGAGGAUAAUGAUAUUAUUAAAUUUAAUAUGGGUUUGGUUCGUUUAGAUUCAUGAGUUUCUCUAGACAGUAUAUAUGGGGGGGCCAAAACUACUUUGCAUCGUAGGUUUUGUACACCACUCAUUUGUCAUUUACCAAAGUCACCAUUGGAUUUUAUGUGAUGGCUAGAAAAGAAACACAUAGAGAAAUAGGAGUAACUAGAGAAACAAAUAAUGAGCCAGUCACCUAGAUUGGUAAUUGAGCAUAGGGAAAUUAAAAAAAUUAACCUAAAUAUUUUUGAAUUAUUGGCUACUUCCAGAAAAAAUCUAAACCAGCAGUUUUUGAUCAAGCAAAUAAAUUAAUGGCAACAACAACGGCUAAUCGAUGCAGCGACGACAAUAGCUACUUCCGGCAAGAGUGGCCUCUUUAAUUUGAGUUAGUUCGCUGAGUUUAUGUCCAAAUUCUUAAAUGGAUAAUGGAUUUAUUGUUUUAGUACUAAUUGUUGAUGAUUAUAGGUUAGAUCUUGUUGAGCGAUUAGUUUUGUAACAUUAAGCUUGAAUUGGGAAUGAAAAUUGAUAAAAUGCUUAUGGAAAUAAGUUUGUUAAAUAUGGCAAUACAAAUGUUUGCUAAAUGCAUCAAAGAAUACAAUUUGUUGUUUAGGCUUAAUUUUGCUAUUAUUUUACUUGAAUGAAUAUUUAAGAAGGUUGCAACUAGUAUUGUCACUUGAAUAUAGGCAAUGGUAUGGUGUUAUAGGUGAUUAUGAGCAAAAGGUGUUUGUCACGAUAACCUUACAAGUGAAAACCUUCUUUUUCUCAAACAAAACCCAGAUUAAGAAGAUUCAAUACUUCAUCAUAACUAUCAGAAAACAAUAUCAAGACAAUAAUGCCAAGAACCAUUGUCUGUAAACUUUAUCCAUUGGAAAAAUCGUAAAUUAUGCUUACACGUACAAAUUUUUUUUUUUCGAUUUACAGGUGCUACGCCUUCAGCCGGUUACUCGUUUUCCAAAUGUUAAAUCUCAGUUGUUAGAUACAUUUCUUCACAAUCUAACGGCUCAUUCGCUAUAAGACAAAGGACUAGGGUACCAAACUCAUGACGCAAGAUAGCUGGAUCCUAUAUGGAGGAAAUUUAAUCCAUUUGACAACUAAAAAAUUCAGAAAUCAGACCUCGAUUUGACAACUUAGAAAUUAAACAAUUAAAUUUGUUCCAUAUGCAUGCAGAAAAUUAGAUGUAUGUAACUUGUCAUAUGCUAUAUAUAUUCUAUUAGGUGGAAGAUUUUCUACUUCAUUUGUAUGAAAUAUAUGGUAUCAAUCAAUAAAUUCUUAUUUUGUUAUAUAUACUAAUAGUAUCUUAUAGUAAACUAAGAAAUAUUAACGACCUUCUAGUGUGUUUUUGAGUUGUAAAAUAUUUUUUUAAAAAAAAUUGAGUUGUAAAGUCUAGUUAACUAUUUUGUGUUCCAUUACAGGUAUUAUGAAAGGUUUUUUAAGUUUUUAGAUGUUUUUUGACCCAUUUGUCAAUAAGUGAAACUAUUAGCACCACUUUAAACUCCUCAUAAAACCUUUCUUCUAAAAAUACACCAUUAAAAACAUAUGUAAAUCACAGUACUUUUAACAACACCUAUGUUAAUUCCACAAAUAACCUUAUAUAUUCUUUUUUCUUAAAAAAUCAUAUGAAAACAAAAAUCUUUUAUUACAAAACCUUUUCACCAAUUUAAUCUGAAGCCCUUGUUCGGUCCAUGAGAAUCAACUUUUCAAUUUAGAAUUGUUUGAGCUUCUUUUUCCAACUUUUUAUUCUUAUUCUUAUAUAUAAAUGAGAUUCUUAUAAUAUAUAAUUCAUUUUAUUACUUUAUUUUAUCAUUCCAUGGGAAAAGAUAUCAAAAUAUUACUAUGAAGUAAGUUAAACUAGUAGAAAGUAGAAUCUAAAAACUAGAUAAGAAAUAUUCUAGGCCAUCCUCUUGAGUGGAUCUAUUUUAAUUCCACGAACGUCCUUGUACACUUCUUUCUCACGAACUUUACUAUGAGAGAGAGAAAAAAGAAUUAAAUAAAUAUUUCUUUUAUACUAAAAAAGAUUGUUUGAAGCUAAUCCAAUAUUAUUUUAUACUCUGAAUGUGACAAUUCAUAUACUUUUAUAUGAACACGUAAAUCGAUAAAAUCAAGGGAACAAGUAGCCAUAAAAAAAAUAAGUCUUUCAUAAUUUGAAAAUAAUGAACUAAAAUUUCAGUCCAACAGAAACCGCUAAUUUAAGAAUAAAAAUAAAAAUAAAAAACAUUUUCACUAAAACAACAAAAUUAUCUUUUAUUUAAUAAAAAUAAAACCCAUGUGGGGUUAGAGGAAGAGAGAUGAAUUGUCAAACGUGAUUUGAUUAAAGUUAAAAAUAUAAAUUUAAGAUAUAAGAAUUCUUUUGGAGGUGCCAAUAGCUCCACUCUAUUCUCUUUUUGUAGUUCUGCAAGUUUUAAACACAUGGUUCUAUGAAGGUCUUAGAGGGUGCCGAUAGCUUUCAUUAAUGUGCAUAUAUGUUAAACAAUAUCGAAUUAUUAGAUGGACCUUACUACCUUACAGAUUCUGUGAGGUACACCUCUCUAAUAAGAAUGGAGCGUGGCUCACUUAAGACCACCUUUAUUUUACUUAUUUUGGAUGGACGUACCUUACAAAAUCUAGGUACCGUCUUCUUAUUUGAUCCAACGUAAUCAAACAAUCUAAUCUAAUUGACUUGCCGCUUUAUGUUAAUAUAUAAUUAUGUUUUCUUUCAAUUGUUCUAAUAGUUGAGAGUUUUAUCUGGAAGAUAGCUCGAAAAUCAGCACUAAUUCCUACUCAGAAGGGAGGGGAAAUAAAUUGUGAUAGAAAAUAAAUUAUUUGAGUGCUCUGUGAGUCGAAGACCCACUCUCAGAUAAACAACUAUCUUUGUAAAGCAGAGCAGAAUUCAGAAAUGUCAUUCUUCUCAUUGGGUCAUUUCUUCAAACGUCCUCUGUACAAACAGCUCACCCGCCAUCAUAAUCUAUUUCCAUUCAUAAAUCAAAAACCCAGAACCCAAUCAACAGCACCCUCUUCCGUUCUCAUAAAAGUUUCAGCCCGUUCUUCUUAUCUCUCAGUUCGCAUUUGCUGUCAAAAACAUGCGUUAGUGAGUUUCACUUUUUUUACUUGUCUGUGUUUUUAAGCAUUUUGAAUUAGUAAUUAUUUGGCAUUAAAAUUGAGGUGCCUUAACUUGUGUUGUCAGGAUAUGUUUUCUGAAGCUCUUCUAUGUUUCGGUGCAAGUUCUACAAGCGUGGAUGAACAUGAUAAUGAUGCUGAUGAGAAUUCUGAUGAGGUUGAAACUUUAUAUUUUAAUUUCUUCUUUUUUCUUUUCUUUGAUUAUUGAUUCAUGUCUUGUAAAGGAUCUUGAGAGCAACAAUAAACAAGAAAUGAAACUCAUAUCCCAUUUGCAAAUUGGCUUCUAUUUGUGUUAAAAAUGUGCUUCUAAUUUCCAAUGUAAUGUUACCAGUUGGCCUUAGAUUUUUGUUGACUUUGUUGGUUCACUUGCUAGAAAGGUAGCAAGAGGAAAAAAUUAAUAAUAAUACUAAAUAAGCACAAAAUUUUCAAUGUUUGUUAUGGAAUUGAAAAUUGUCUUCUUUCUGUGUUAAAAGAGUGCCUCGAAAACGCCAUUAUAAUGUUACUAGUUGGUCUUAGAUUUUGUUGAAUGUAGAGUGGCUUCUGAAUAAAACCUACAGUUGUUUUAAAUAUUACUUACAGAUUGCUUUUAUGCAGAUCUAUAUUGAUUCCAUAUUUCCUGAAUGCGAAGACGUGGAUGAGUGCAUAUUAAAUGCUGCUAAUUCCAUAGGCUUGAAAGAGACACCGCGCUAUGAAGUUAAAAUGGGCGAGCAAUGCAACUGGAUAAAGAAAACUCAGGUUUGUUUGCUCUCCUUUUUCUCUCUAUCACAACGGUAUACUUGGAAUUAUUGUUAUGUCAAUUUGAUUCUCUUUUCUUACAUGUUGCAGGAGUCAUUUCCUCCCGUUGAGGUGACAAAAUGACUAUGGAUUGUGCCCGAGUGGAGUACACCACCAGUAUGAUUAUCUCACUCCCUUGGGAGGUUUUGUUGCAGUAAUUUCUCAUAUUUUAUAGGGUACCCUCUUCUUCAUUGCUUCUGUAGAAGUCAUAUAAGCUAGUUGCUUCCGAAUCUUUAAAUUUAUUCAAUGAGGAACCUUCGUUUGGAAAAUUGAUUUUCAUCUGAUCCAAGAAGGUUGCUUUGAAGGAGAGAGCUUACGAAAUGCAGCAAGCAAAAUCAUAACUACAAAGCAGUAGACUAAUUGUUAGCUGACUCUAAGCAAAGGCAACAUUCAUAAAAGAUGACGAAGAGUUUCUAAUAUUUACCAAUAUAACUUAUACCAAGUGCACAGAAUAGAGCCAUCUGAACAUUCAGGAGCAUAAGAACAACCAAUGUAGCUGCAAAGAUGAGAUGUAAUUACUACUGUGAAGACGAGGAAAGAAUUCCAUUAUUUAUCAACAGCUAGACUGUAGUAUAAUGGAAAGACUUGCUAAGGAAAGUUUAAAGCAACACUCAUCCAGAGAAGGCAAGAACAAGUAUAGAAGCAAAAGUGCACACAUUCAUAUAUAGGGGUAACGAGUAAUGUAUCAUAAAUCACUUGCUCUAGCUCAGUAAAAAAAAAAACAACGCAAAAUUGCAAAUUCAUAGUGUUGUUAUUUAUCAAUUGGAACCCAGAAAAAAAAAAUCUGUAACUUAAUUAUUCAUUUAAGCAGAUUGAAACCCUUACAAACACAGGUAAGCAAAUCAAAAUUAUCAUUAAAAAUCCAAUCAAGGCCACAUAAAUCUAAUCACAUCCAAAAGCAUCCCAAAAUCUCGUUCAAAAUUCAUAUACCCACAUACAAAAACCAUUCAAAAAUUUAAUGCUAAAUUUAAACCCAAAUCUGUUGCGUAAUUGCAUUGUACACGUAAUUACUUUAUCUUGAUAACGCCCCCACAAGCAUUCUGCAAAAGGGGAAAUCAAAUACUUAAAACUAUUAUAGAAACUUGAAAGAGCAAGUCUUAGAUUGACUUGAAUUUGAACCAAGAGGCAACACAAACAAACGCGUUCAAGCAAAUGCAAAACCAACGAAACCCCAAUCAUCAAGUGGUCCAUUGAUAAAUAAAAUCCAAUUACAUCGACUGCGCUGCCAAAAUUUUAUUAAAGAAAACGGAUCCCGUGCUCAGCUGAGCUUGUGCUGAGCACCGGAUCAAUGGUCAAUAAUUAUUUAAGACCCACGUAAGAUAAUUGCUGAGCAUUGAUUCGGUACUCAACACAAGCUCAGUUGAGCACUGUUUAUAAAAAAAAAUAAAAGCGGCAUCAGCAUGUGCUUUGAUUGAAUGCCUUGAGAACACGUAAGCAUCACCCAAAUUAUUAUUUACACAUGCUUGCGUGAUCCAAUUGCAUGCCAGAAAAUACAAAGAAUGAAUCUUGGUGAAAAUUUCCUAUCCACUAAAGGGUGCGUUUGCAAAUCUCAAAAUCGGUGGGGGAAGUGCGGCGGUGUGGCGGGCUAUAGCCAGACAGAGCCAGAGAAUCUGAAGCAAAACACCAAAAAUCUUGCCCUGGAAAUGACUCAGCAAGAAUACUUCGGUAUUAUAUGCUAAAUUUUUUUAAAGAAUUUUCUUUUAGUAUUGUUUUGAGAAAAUAAAUAAAGGUAGUCAAUUUAAUAUGCUUAAGAAUUUUUAGUAUUUUAAAGACUGGACAAAGCAUAACUUACUUUUUAAAUUUAAUAGAUAAGUGUCUAGAAUAAUAGCGUAUUUAAAGUAAUUAUUAGAGUGCAAAUAGUCAUAUCCAAUACUUCAACUUAUAAUGGUUGGUUGUUGUUUUCACUGAAUUUUCAGAUUUGAAUUGAAUCAAUUACUAGUUGUGUGGUUGGAGCUCAAGAGAGAUGAAGAUAAAAAAAAAAAAGGAGUUCUUCUUUUAUCCCUUUUAAGUGAAUAUAUUUAGGUUGGGUUAAUGUGUACCAUAGUCCAUAGGGCACUUUCAUCUUUUCUGUCAUAUGACACCUCUUUACUCAAAUGUCAAAUGGGCUUGCUCAUCAAGCUUUGGUAUUCAUCAUUUGGAUCCUUGAUCACGUGACGCUUGUUGACUAGGCAGCCUUGUUGCCUUAAUUUCCUAUUGUUUUCUUGUUCUCAGGCUGGAAGACAUUAUUUUUUCUUGUUAUCUCUUAGCUUAUUCCAUAUUUGUCCUUCUAAGUGAGCUAAUUUUACCAAAACUAUCAUUUUCCUUGAUUGGCUCAUGUAGGACAGUUGAUGUGUUAUUUUUUCCACCAAUCAUCUUCUUAUUUAUUAUUCUUGUACCACAUGUCAGCUUUCAACUAGUCCAUAAAUAUCCUUCCAAAUUUACCUCCAAACAAAUCUAAUAACCUCUUGAAAACGAAAAAUUAAAAAUUUAUUCAAUCAUUCAAUGUUAAGGAAAUUGGCCAAGUAAUGGAAUGCUAACAAACCAAAUUAAAUUUCUACACUUGCUCUUUUUCUUUGGCCUAUACCAAAUUUCAUCACUUAAUUUUCCUUUAAUUAAAUAAAACAAAUACAUUAUAACUGCUUACUAUUUACAUCUGAAUAGAGCAAUAAAGACUGGUUAUUAAAGACCGGUUAUUAAACGGAUAUGGAUGAAAAUGGUGUUAAAACAUGGCAUAUGGUAGCAAUAAAAAAGGCGCUUGCAGGAUAUAUUCAAGCAAAUUGGUUUGAGUAACCACAAACAAAAAGGCCUCGCAAGUGAUAAGUUCCUCCUUUGCCCACUCAAAUGCAUUACAUAAUGUCGCAGUACAUUUUAUUUAUGCAAAUACGUAUAUAUAUGCAUAUCUUGAUAACUAUUUUAACAUGUGAUCUAAUAUAGAACAUAAUUUAAUAGAGUAUACUCCCUGAAUUUCGCUCUGAAUUUUUUUAUAAUUGAUUUGUUAUAAAUUUGAACGAGGGAUUGCAAUUAUACCUUCUUGAAGUUUAUAGAUGUUUUCAUGCAUGCUCCACGAAAAAUAUUUGAUGUCGUGCUAAUGCUCACUGCAAAGCAUAUACCGUAGGCUAUGCUAUAGCUAUAUAAAAACUUAUACUUGCUUUCUCGAAUGCACACACUUGCACACAAAAUUUUACCAGACGUGGUUUCAAUUUAUUGAACCAUUAGAGGGACACAUCAGUAGUCACCAAAAUGCCACUCUAAAUGGCAAUUCUCGUAAUCAUUUUGCUGUCGCUCUUCAUUCCAGUCCCAAGUACACAGCCCAAACUUCAAUUUUCUCUGGGAAGGUAAUGAAGCGUGGCUCAGUCUCAGUAAUAUGUCUUCCAUAUUCCAUGGAAUGAGCCAAAGGAGUAAUACUUCUAUAGUUAGAAGCAACUAGCAAUCAUAUUGAAGGAAUUUUCUGUAUCAGAUAAAGAAAGAGCAGCAGAGAACAAAGCUGUUAAUCAAUCAACACAUGUACAGCAGUAUUAGUAUUUCUGCCUUAUUGUAGUGCCUAAUUGGGUAUUAGGAUUUCUCCUCAAGAACGUUUACUAAGACAUUCAGCCAAGUAUGAAGUUCAUCAAUAAUCAAUCUUUUCGGUAAAUAAACGAAACAUAUUGAGUGCCAAACUUGCCCAGCCUUUGAAACAGAAUUUCAGAGCAAGCAACAGAACAAAGUCAGAAAAUACAUUCAACUGAACCCAACACCAGAAAGCAUAACAAAUAUUAUUUAUUUUUUGUACACAAUUAACGAACCGCCCCUGAAGCACAAAUCAAUGAACUCUCAACUGAAAAUCCGAAACGAAAGUUCUUAUUUAUGAGUACACAGCGGAAACAAAGACACCAAAAAAAAGUGCACCACCGUAGGAUCAGGAUUUGUAUGUGUAGACAGCAAAAGUGAAGACGGAAAGGAUUCUGGUUGAAAUUGAAGCUCGGGCUGCAGUCAUGAUGUUUUCUGCUCUGAUUUCACCUACACAAGUCAUUAAAGAAAUUAUGAAAAAUAAGAAUUUUAAAUUACAUUUUUUUUCCUUAACUAUUAAAACAAAUGAACGCUGAUGUCUGCUAGGCUCAUGGUUGAAUGUGGAAGAGUACUUAAGUCUCCACUGCUGCUAAAGAGGGCUUGAUGAUUGGGGUGAGUAUCGGAAACUCUAAAGGGUACUUAAUGUUUAGACAAAUUGGAAGAAAACACUUUGUAUAACCAUUUUUAUACUAAAGAGAAGGGGAACAAAAAGUAUAUGCAAUUGGAUAAGUAAUUAAAAUUUGAAGAAAUUGGGUAAAACGAGAAACAUACAUCAAACUCAAUAGGGGCUAAUCAAAUUCCGUAAGGAUAAAGCUGAACGCCAUACUGCUCCUUAUCCUUGAAUUCCCGUAGCUUUUGUCUUAGCUCUGGCUGAGGCCACCAGCAAUCGAACUUGUUUAAGCUCUUUAUGCCCCAGAGCUGUUCAGGCAUCUUUUUCAAGUAAGCACAAGGGUUGAUAAUCAAGCAUUCUAGUUUUGGCAUGGCUCCAAUCCCCAUAGUCCACUCCCCUAGCCAUAGCAUUGAUUUCAGGUGCAAUACCUUGAGAUUUGGAAAACCAUCAGAGCCACAAGUCAGCUUCCUACCUGAAUACGAAUUUUGCUUCAGUUUGAGCACUUGAAGAAGCGGCAGCUUUUCUAGUGUCGGCAUGGGAUCAUCCAUUAGGUCAGUAUUAGAAAAACUCAAGUGGGUUAGACUAUGAGGAAAUAGGUAUUCAGCAAGGACGAUUUUGGAGAGCCGUGGCAUCUUGCUUUCAUUCGCCAGCUUCAAUGACUUGAGAAAGCUCAAUCUGCAGAGACUUUUGGAAAACAAAGAUUGAUUAUAACUUAAAUCUCCCCGUAUUCGGAGAUUUUGAAGAUUAGGUAGCCUGCCCAAUAUAUCUUCAGUACAGCAGCAAGGAUGCAAGGCCGAAAUGAAAUUUAGAUUUUCCAGAGAGCCACAAUAUUUUCCUGGAUGCGCAGGAAGUGUGAUUGACCCAAAAUUUAGAUGCCUGAGUUUGUUCAUCUUCCAAAAUUCAUCUGCUGUAUGAUCUAUGUAGCUAAAGGGCAUGUCUAGGGUGUAGAGGUUUAGAAGAUUGCUUAAUAAUGAGGAAGGCAGGCUUUUGAGGGAAGGGAUAUUCAACUUCAAAUAUCUCAAAAGAAAUAAAUUUUCAAUUUCGGAUGGAUAUUGGUUGAGAACAAGAGAUCCCAAGUCCAAUAUUCUGAGAAGUUUGAACAUUCCACAAAUUUUCUCCCAAUCUAUGGGGUCAAAGUGGCAGCUUUCUGGAGAGCAGCACAAUAAAGAAUGCAGUUGCGAGUCAUAAUCAUCUAAGCAAUCAAAAUCACCCUCUCUUUCAACAGCGUUUAACCGUUUGGCUCUUUUUCCUGAUUCACUAUCGAUGGAAGGGGAAAAGAUGAAUUCCACCUCAGAAGAAACUGUGAACAACACGGGACGCCAACGACCAGGAAUAGAGCAUGUGUUGAUAGUGCCUCCGGCUUUUCUCUUCUUUGCUUCAACAAAGCCUUCCUUGAUAAGUUGUUCCAAGUAACUCUCAGCAGUUGCCUCACUAUUGUCUGGAAUGAAACCUUCAGCUAUCCACAACUGAUAUAACUGCCUGGUGGAUAUCUCUAGGUGUACGGGAAACACAGAUAAGUAGAUAAAACAAGGUUUCAAGCAAAACGGUAACAUGCAACAUUUGAAGUACCGAAGCACAAGGGGUAUCUCCACUGCUUCCCCUAUAUUUUCUUCUAAUGAGAUGCUUCCAUGAUAUAAGAUGAGGAAAGGCCAUCCUUGGUAUGUAGCUCUCAAUGGUCCUCCAGUGGGCACUAAAUCAAGCCGAAUGUUCUCUCCGUCUUCGAGCUGAAAUGAGGUGACCAUCUUAAUUUCAGUGAGUGUUAUUAAUACUCUACUUCUAUUCUGAUUAUCCGGGAGUAUUUCUCGAAUAAUAGCCCAUACUUCAAUGUUCCACACAUCAUCAAUCACAAUCAAAUACUGCUUGGUCAUUAGAUAUUCAUGAAGAAUAAUUUUUUUCAUUUCAUAAUUUUUAUCCUUCAUUUCACUCAACCUAGAUGAAGGCAUCAGAAACUUAAUAAUGAUAUCUAAUAUUUGGUCAGCAUCAUAUUCAUUGCUGUAAGGUUCUGUAAUCCAAGCGUGACAAUCAAAAUAAUGCUUCACAUAACUGCUGUUGUAAGCCUCUCCGGCGAAAGCCGUCUUGUCCAACCCAAUGCUAUCAAGUAUGGCCACCACUGAAAGCUGAGGUGGUCCCUCAAUCAAUAGAUCUAACAACUCCUCCAUUCUAUCAUCUAGACCCACCGUGUCCCUACUUUUAGAAGAUGAAGAUAUACCUGCUUCAGCUUUAAAAGUUUUGAUGCGAUCAAUGAUUUCGGAAUCCAUGUGCUUAAGUUGUUGCAUUCGUUGCUUAAUAUCAGUGAUUCUGCUUUGGAGUCCUUGCAGAGCAUCAAAAAUGUCCUUGCUGCCGCUGCUUUGACUCUUCUGUUGAGUGAUGCUGUUGAUGAAUGUGUCAAUGACCCUCUCAGAUUCAUACGUAAAGCAAUUGAUUUCAUCCAUAACGGUCGCCAGAUCUGGGUUUUCAAUUUCAUCUUCUCCGAUCUUUUCCAACAUAAGCAAGGAAGUUUCAUCUUCAAAUUCACUCAGCCAAGAAGUAACGAUUUCAACCUCCGCAUGAAGGUUGUGAAUAGGUAGUUUUGCAGCAUCAGGCAACGUGACUUCUUCACCAGCUAACACCCUUCUCAGCCUCUCUGAAAAUAGUCUGAAGUUGAUGUCCAUAUCUCCUCCUCUCUCAGAUUCACCCCGAAAUCAGUCCUAUAAAAGGACAUCGUCAAGAAGUUGAAUAUGCUUUAAAGCUCGCAAUUCAAACAUUAGUGCUGGCUCCCAUACCUCCCUUCUCUUAGCUAGUUCUCCAGUCAAGAAGUUGAAUCAAGAUCGUUGACUCUCAAAUUAGAACAGAUCAAGGCAGAAUCUUACAAUAAUCUCGUCUCCCAUAUGAUGAAAAAAGAAUAAAGCAGAGAAAAAUAAACAGGACAUCGUCAAGUAUCGAUCAAGACCAAUUUGUUUUAUACAUCCACUUUUAAGAAAGGAAGGGUAAAAACAAUUCCACUGGGACUAUAAAAGCUUGUCUGAAAAGAAAAGAACGGAGCAAGCACAAGAGCGUUAUCAAUUAUUUAAUAAUUAAGCUGUGGAAAAAUGCCAAAUCAUGUCUGGUGUUAAAUGUUAAAUUUAUUGCGAGACUUGCAUGUAUCUUGCAUGUAUCUAUAUCACAAAUAAAAUUUGUAUCCCAGGGUUAUAAAUGUAAAAUUACUCAAAUAAAUAUGCAUUCUUAAUCAUGUGUGAUGCUGUCUUAUUUCUUCAACCAGAUUUAGAGAAAGUACUAAAUCGUUUGUAAAAUUUUAUAGUUAAUAUAUGUUCAAUUUUCUUUUUAGCAUUCUUUUUUAAGAGAUGAAAAAUGAUAAAGAGUUCUAACAACGGGUGACAAAAAUAAUAGUAAAUUGUGUACUGUUACAAUGUUAAUUGAAAAAUAGUUAUAAUUUUUUAUUUAACAUUAUAAAUAAAAUCUAUAGUUGUUUUCUCACUACUGUAUCAUUUUUUGAUUCAAAUAUCAGUAUUAUAUGAACUCUUUGAAAGGAUUACAUCAUAUGACACUAUUUAUAAUUAUUUUCAUUUGAGCCCUUAGUGUUAAAAAUAUAACAAUCCAUCAAUGAAAUCAAUGAUAAUGGAAUUCUAAGUAGGAAUGGCAGAAAAAUCAAGUCUAGCUAGAGCUAGUUUUCUAAGUAUUCUGGCUGGUCUUGGGCUCCGGCUAAAAAGUCCGAACCCAGCUCGAAAGCCAAAAAAAUACUGAAAAUUUUAAAAAUUGUAUAAUUCCAAGCCUUAAAGACUUCUCCAAAUGUAUGGUACAACAUUGCAUAAUAGGACCAAUCACAUGGAGAUGAUUUGUACAUUAUUGUACACAAUUUUAGUAUGCAUAUCAGAAGAGAGGCAGCAAUCUUAGUUGAUACUUUUAUUUGACAUAUGAUGUAAGAAACGGAACAAAGAUUGUAACGUUACAAAUUUUGCUAUUCAGCAUCCAAAAUAUCACUAGAACUUGCAAUACAAGCUUUAAUCUCUUCAACAACCCGUCGAAUUGCGGCCAGGAACACAAACGCAGAGAUGGGUAUCAAGAUCGCAUUCGAAAUCGACUGACAGGGAUUGUCACAGUUGGCAUUGCUUUUACAAGUGACUGCUUUUGAUUCCGGUUGAGCAUCAACUGCCGGCAUGGAAAUAUCAAACAACACACCUGCAUAUAUAAAUGGCAAUCAAUUAAUUAGCCUAAUGCUAAUAACACGCCUGCAUAUAUAAAUGCCAGCCAAUUAGUUGUCAUAUUAUAGUUAAUUAUGCAUGCAUUAAAAAGAUGAGGAAAAUAAGAUUAAGGAACAAACAUGAGGCUACCAAGAGAGUGAUGAAAAAUGCGGAUUUAAGUUUAAGUUACAUAAUGUUUAUGUAAGCAAAAGUGCAAAACUGAGAGUCUGAGGAUAAUGAUAUUAUUAAAUUUAAUAUGGGUUUGGUUUGUAUAGAUUCAUGAGUUUCUCUAGACAUUAUAUAGGGGGGGGGGGGGGGGGGGGGGGGGAAUUUAAUCCACUUGACAACUAAAAAAUUCAGAAAUCAAACCUCGAUUUGACAAAUUAGAAAUUUAAAAAUUAAAUUUUUUUCCAUAUGCAGGCUCUCGUUUUUCUCUCUAUCACAACGGUAUAAUUGGAAUUAUUGUUAUGACAAUUUGAUUCUCUUUUCUUACAUGUUGCAGGAGUCAUGUCCUCCCGUUGAGGUGACAAAAUGACUAUGGAUUGUGCCCGAGUGGAGUACACCACCAGUAUGAUUAUCUCACUCCCUUUCGAGGUUUUGUUGCAGUAAUUUCUCAUCUUUUAUAGGGUACCCUGCUCUUCAUUGCUUCUGUAAAAGUCUUAUGAGCUAAUUGCUUCCGAAUCUUUAAAUUUCUUCAAUGAGGAACCUUUGUUUGGAAAAUCGAUUUUCAUCUGAUCCGAGAAGGUUGCUUUGAAGCAGAGAGCUUAUGAAAUGCAGCAUGCAAAAUCAUGACUACAAUGCAGUAGACUAAUUGUUAGCUCACUCUAAGCAAAGGCAACGUUCAUAAAAGAUGAAGAAGAGUUUCUAAUAUUUACCAACAUAACUGAUAGCAAGUGCACAGAAUAGAGCUAUCUGAACAUUCAGAAGCAUAAGAACAACCAAUGUAGCUGCAAAGAUGAGAUGUAAUUACUACUGUGAAGUCGACGAAAGAAUUCCACUAUUUAUCAACAGCUAGACUGUAGUAUAAUGGAAAGACCUGCCAAGGAAAGUUUAAAGCAAAACUUAUCCAGAGAAGGCAAGAACAUAAGUAUAGAAGCAGAAGUGCACACAUUCAUAUUUAGGGGUAACGAGAAAUGUAUCAUAAAUCACUUGCUCUAGCACAGUACUAUUUCAUGCUAAUUUUCUUGCUCGUUCUAUGGUUAGGACCCUUUGAGCGGAAAGAAAUCAAAUCACAAUGCUUAUUCUAGCUAGAAACUCCUGAAGUCCAUGCUUGAACCCUGUGUCGAUUGGUCAUAGACUCCAUAUUCUCCUCUCCCAAAAGUAUGACAUUUUUUUCUUCCACUGAUUAAUGGAACUUAAAACUGUUUUGCCACAAUCUUAGUCAUACAAACCCUUUCUCUUUACAUUUCUUAAGGUCAUCAGACCCAAGCCAGAACAUGUUUACUUCCUAGGAGAAAUCUUAAAUAUCUUAAUCAAUACGGAACUGUGUAGUUCAGACAGCAUUCCCUUGGCCAACUAGACGUAAAGAUUUGCAAUGUCCUAGUAAGUCUAUGAGUGGAACUAACAGUGCCCUUCCAAUACGGAAAAACAAUCAUCAAAAACAAUUUUUUUACCCCAUCAACCACAUACAGUAUAAGACUGUAGCAGGUUAUCUCAAUAUCGGCUGCCAUUUUGAUUCAAAGAAGAAAUAUUUGAGAACUCACCACAUUGUGCAAUGCGAACCAGAACCUGCCUAAUCACAGGAUGCCAAUCCCAGUUCCAUUUGUCACUACAGAACUUGAAAAAAUCCCAAAGUGCCAAACUUGAUAUCAACCCAACAAGAGCAAGUGGCAUCUGGUAUCUAUAAGAUGGAGACAGAGACAAUGUCACUAGACAGAUGAUACACAGAAAAAAAAAAAAAUGUAAUACAACUAACACACACAAUACUAUGAUUAAAAAAAUAUCUCCAUCAGUUAAAAACUAAACAAUGGAAAGGCGAGACUCUAUGAACUAAUGCCCUGAACCAGCACAAAUACCAAUUCUCCUGGAGUAUUUUAAGUAUUCAUAUAGUUGUUUCAAAGCACAGGAAAAAAAACAAACAACGCAAAAUUGCAAACUCAUAGUGUUGUUAUUUAUCAAUUGGAACCCAGAAAAAAAUAGCUGUAAUUUAAUUAUUCAUUUAAGCAGAUUGAAACCCUUACAAACACAGGUAAGCAAAUCAAAAUUAUCAUUAAAAAUCCAAUCAAGGCCACAUAAAUCUAAUCACAUCCAAAAGCAUCCCAAAAUCUCGUUCAAUAUUCAUACAACCACAUACAAAAACCAUUCAAAAAUUUAAUUUUUUUUAACUCAAAAUAAUAACUCAGAAAAGGAAACAAAAUUCUUACAGAGAGCAAGCAAAGAAGAGGAUGAACAAAGAAGCAUAAUUCCUGGCAUAACGUUUAACAUUCUCAUGAACUCUCAACUUAAGGGUGUGUGGGGAAGAUGGAAACGAGAAAGACCCAAGAGCCCCAAUAAACUCACGGGUCCAAGACGGGGUGUUGGCUGAGAAAUCAUCAGUGGUGAGUUUAGCAAAAGGGUUGGCGGUAAGAAGAGAGAUAAAGGUGUAUAAAUAAUGUAAAAGGCUGUGAGUUAAGGUCGUGGCUGUGGCUGUUUCUUUGGUGGAGGCUGUUGUGACGGCGGUGGCCGACGUGGUGGUGGCGGUGUCGAGGAUUUCGAGGUAGCCGGACUCGCGUAGCCAUGACUCGAAUGCUGGGUCGGGUACGUUUAGAGAUAAC